CAUAUGCAGACCUAUUUGUGUUAUAUAUAAGUCAGGCCUUUGUUCUCUUCAAAUCAUUACUCUGCAUUGAGUUUAUCUAUUAGUACAACUCAAAGUGGCAGGACAUGUAUCUGUUACAUUUUUCUGACUUCGACUAUGUGAGUGCACUGUAAUCCAAGAGAUUGUUCUUCAUUCUUCUUGCAGGAAAGACGUGAUAAUUAGGAAAAUUUUGCUGAUGCAUUGUCAGAGAGUUUUGGUCGACUAAUGGCAAUCCGUCUCCUAUCGCGUCAAAAUCUGAGGAAUCUGGUCGGUGUAGUCUUGUAGCAUGGUCAGAUUCAGACUCAGCUAUUUUUUUCUUUUUUGUUCCUACAAGAUGUUCAGCUUAGCUUUAAAUACAGUAAAUUUGGAUACUGGAAAUGUUAUAUGACUCUGUUCUCCAUGUAUCCAGCAUUAUCCAUGUUGCUCUUGACAUUGAUGCUUUAUGAACAAGUAGAACACACCUGACAAGACAGCUGUCAAUGAAUGCUAUGAGGUUUAGGAGAGACUUUGUGGAUGUUUUUGCCUGUUACCACGUGUUGGCCACUAGAACAAGUAGACAUUUUAGAUGGCCCUUUUUUGUCUGUACGUUGUGUAUGUCAUCUGUUAGAACUGGGAUUGUUUUUGGUUUUGGCCUUGAUAAUACUAACUCUACCCUUUAGUUCAAUCAGUUUCAAGGCCGCCCUUUUGCUCUCCACAAUUCAGCCCUCUAUUUUCCUGUUUGAAAAAGAUGUGCUUAUGUCAUUGUGUUUGUUGAACUGUACAGCAUAACAACAGUGGAGUGACUUGCAGGUGCCUCAUGUGGAUUUUAUGGCUUAAGCCAAGAGGAGAAAGAAAGGGCUCUGCAUAUGAAAAGAUACCAACAUUAUUGUUUCCAUGAAAUUGGUUGGAAGAAAAGAAGAAGAUCCAGAGAAGAUCUUAGUAAUAAGAUAGUUUUUAGGAAAAUAGAUAUUUAGUUUUAGGUCAUUUCUUCUAAUUUCAGAUAUGGAGUGCUUGUCUUUAGUUUUUGUUUUGACUUUGUGAAA